rnacentral:rRNA from 1 species
GUAGGAUCCGAGCGUUAUCCGAAUUUACUGGGCGUAAAGCGCGUGUAGGCGGCCGGGUAAGUUGGACGUGAAAUCUCCUGGCUCAACUAGGAGAGGUCGUUCAAAACUGCCUGGCUAGAGGGCGACAGAGGGAGGUGGAAUUCCCGGUGUAGUGGUGAAAUGCGUAGAUAUCGGGAGGAACACCAGUGGCGAAGGCGGCCUCCUGGGUCGCACCUGACGCUCAGACGCGAAAGCUAGGGGAGCAAACGGGGAUUAGAUACCCCGGGUAGUCCUAGCUGUAAACGAUGUGGACUUGGCGUUGGUGGGGUUAAAUCCCAUCAGUGCCGUAGCUAACGCGAUAAGUCCACCGCCUGGGGACUACGGUCGCAAGAUUA